GGGUUUCAGAGGACUGUGUUUAACAUGCAGUGAGCCGCAGCAAUGCAAACAGCUCCAGUGUUUAAACAAGCAUCCAUUAGGCCAGGAAACAAGGCGGUGCCAGCUCAUUUGGUGCUCGCAGUGGUGGCAGCUUGAGGUGGCACCCAGGGACUGCAGCACUGGGACGGCGGCCUCAUGGGACAAGAGUUAGAGCCAUCUGUAAAAAUGGCAGUGUCCCUGAAGACAACUGUGUCCACAGAAUGAAGUGUUUCCAUCGGCCCUGGAUGAAUGUGUAUCCUCCUCCCGUUAGCAAGCAGCAGGGAGCGGCAAAUAGUGGGGAAAUGGGAGUUGCCAACGUGCAACCCCAAGCAGAUCUUGUUAUCGUGAAGACCUGUGAAGGUCUCCGAAAGUUCUCUGGAUGGAGUGUGAGUGUCCUUGCGUGGCCUUCCAGCUCUUCAUGAUCUGUGCAGCUCUGAUGUCUCCAGGCCCGUUUCUCCACACUUCCACUUGAUACCCUGGCUCAAGCAGAUGCAACCGCUCAUGGUUUCGCUUACAAACACUCUUCUUUCUUCUCUGGCCAAAGGCUGUGUUUGUAUUCCCUCUGCCUGGACUGUCCCCACCCCACCCCACCCGAAUUUGAAUCCCCGAAGACUUAGCUUGUGUAUCUGGCCCUCCUAGAAGCUUCACUGCCUGGGCAUGAAGCGACACGUCCUCCUCUGUGGUUCCACGAUACAAGUGCUGCCGCCAGCUGCGCUGGUCUGACUUCCUAUCUGCUUUCCUUUCCCCUCCAUCCUGAAGACUCUUGAAGUCAGAGACGGUUAUUGACUAGUGGCCCCAGUGCCUGUCAUAGAAUCAGCACCCCUAAGAGUUCACUUAGCUGAGUCAAAGCAUGAACAAUCUUGUGCAAAAUAUUCCUUUUGAAUAGUUACUAAAGAUGGAUGUGGUGGUACAUGCCUGUAGUCUGAGCACUCUGGGAGGCUGAGGCAGGCGGAUUGCAAGUUCAGGCCCAGCCUGAGCAAUUUAGCAGCUUAGUGAGACCCUGUCACAAAAUUUCAAAUGAAAUAAAGGGAUAAGGAUCUAGUUCUAUGUGAAGAUCUUGGGUUCAAUCCCUAGUACCAGGGAAAACAAUCAACUAAAUUGUAUAAAACACUUGAGAAGACGAGAGAGGUUUAAAUGAAAUUAUUAGUGUUAUUAGUUUUCCAAGGCUGCCAUAACAAAGUGCCACAGGCUGGAUGAGCUACACAGCAGAAAUGUAUUCCCUUAUAGGUCUGGAGUCCAAGAUGAAGGUGUCAGCGGAGUUGGUUUCUCCUGAGGCAUUGCUAUGGUUUGAAUGUCCUCAGCAUUCAAUUGAAACUUAAUCUCCAGGUGGUGGUAUUCUCAGGUGGGACCUUUGGAGAAGUAAUUAAAUCAGGGGGAGGGGUCCAUCUUCCUGAGUGGAUUACAGCUUUAUAAAAUGGCAAGUGGAAACUAGGUGAGACUUCCCGUUUGCUCUUCUACCACUCAAGGACCCCUAGAUGGCGCUAUACAUGAGGAACAGGGCUGUGCUCCCACUGACCCUGCCAGCACUUUGAUCUUGGACUUCCCAGUCUCCAGAGCUGUGAACAAUAAACC
ensembl:lincRNA